UUAUACACACAAUGCCGUUAGGAAGAGAAUUCCAGAAAUUUGUUCUAACAGCACUGACGGAACGGUGAUGCAUUUCCAAAUCAGGUUGGUGAGUGGUUUGUGUGGAAUCUUGUUAGUGGUGGUACUCUCAUGUAUUUACUACCCUUGUAUUUCUCGGUGGUAAUGAUCAUAGGUUUGGAAAUUACUCUCUAAGGAGGCUUAGUGAAUUUCUGCAGCGCAUCUGGUAGCUGGUGCACACUGCUGCUUCUGAAUGUCCAUGGUGGAGGGAGUCAGUAUUUGUGGAUGUGUGGGCCAGCUGUUUUAUGCUGGUUUUGUCAAGCAUCUUGAGAGUUGCUGAAACUGCACUCACCCAGGCGAGGAGGGGCUAUUUCAUUGUACUAGCGCCUCAUAGAUUUGUGGAGUCAGGUGGUGACUUACUCACCACAAAUUCCUAGCAUCUGAGACACGUUUUGGCUCUUGUGGUUAUUGUAUUUAUAUGGCUAGUUUAACUGUUAAUCUUAGCCAUCCAAAACAUUAACAGAAGGGGUUUCGAUGAUAAUAAUGCUAAUGAAUGUAAAGGGGUGGUCAUUAAAUUGUCACUUACCUACUUUUGUCCAGUACUAUCCUUAACUUCACUAGAAAGCUAUUCACUCCAGUAUUAAACACCCACUCAUCCUCAAUUUUCAACUUGCACACUAAAAUCCUGUCUCUUGUUUUCAUUCUUUCUCUCUCAACUCAUUUUCAUUUUCCAACAUAUAUCCUCUUUUUCUGAUCGUACUCUCUUACAUCCCACCACGACCCUACCUCCUCCUUUUCUCAAAUUUUUGCUCUCUUCUGCCUCAUUGUUAAAAUUUUAAAGUAUUGUUCACCAUUUGGCUUACUUGCCAUUUUUAUUUUCCUGAGCAUCUUAUAAAACAGAUUGCAGCUUCAGCGGGAAGGUGAUUGAAGCUGGGAAUCAGCACUCACACCUGUAUGUCCAGACUGGGACCUUUAUGAAGCCUCUGAGACAGAAUGUAAUUCCACGACAAAGCAACAACUAUGACCCAAUGCCAGAACGGGAGAGAUCUCAUAUGUGAAGGAAUCUGCAGGAAUUUUCUAGCUGGAACCAUUGGGAGGGGAAGCUGCACUGUGAAUGCUGACACUGGAUAUAUUAGGCACGUUGAAUAAAAUCUGCUGUGGACUUUCGGAAAUGCUGCGUUGGAGAUAUGAUUCAUAGGAUGACUCAUAGGUUGUUCUUGCAACUGGGGCUUUAAGGAGUCGUCAACUAAGUGGCAAAGCUGUAGAAUCUGGAGUUUGCAGAGGACGUCAAAUUUAGGAGCAUUGCGCCCAGGGCAUGCUUGAAAAGUCAGAGGAAGCUGUCGGAGAGAUGGUGGUAUCAUGGUCAAAGUAAAGCUGGCCUCAUAAUCCAGAGGCUGAAGCUAAUGACCCAAAGUUCAAAUUCCUUCUGUGGCUGCUGAUGAAAUUUAAAUUCAAUGAAUAAAUCUGCACUUGAGAGCUAGUGUCAGUAAUGGUCACCUUGAUUGUUGUGAA